GACGAACGCUGGCGGCGUGCUUAACACAUGCAAGUCGAACGGAAAGGCCCUGCUUUUGUGGGGUGCUCGAGUGGCGAACGGGUGAGUAACACGUGAGUAACCUGCCCUUGACUUUGGGAUAACUUCAGGAAACUGGGGCUAAUACCGGAUAGGAGCUCCUGCUGCAUGGUGGGGGUUGGAAAGUUUCGGCGGUUGGGGAUGGACUCGCGGCUUAUCAGCUUGUUGGUGGGGUAGUGGCUUACCAAGGCUUUGACGGGUAGCCGGCCUGAGAGGGUGACCGGCGACAGGGGGACUGAGGUACGCCCCAGACGGGAACGGGGGGCAGCGGGGGGAAAUAUGACACAGUGGGGGGAGGUCUGGUGCGAAAGCCGCGGGGGGGGAAUGGGGGCUUGUGGGUAAAAAACCGCUUUCGCCUGAAACGAGGGGGGAGUGACGGUAAUGUAAAAAGAAGCACCGGCUAACUACGUG
rnacentral:rRNA from 1 species